rnacentral:rRNA from 1 species
UGGGGAAUCUUGCGCAAUGGGGGAAACCCUGACGCAGCGACGCCGCGUGCGGGAUGAAGGCCUUCGGGUUGUAAACCGCUUUCAGCAGGGACGAAAUUGACGGUACCUGCAGAAGAAGGCCCGGCCAACUACGUGCCAGCAGCCGCGGUAAUACGUAGGGGCCUAGCGUUGUCCGGAUUUAUUGGGCGUAAAGAGCUCGUAGGCGGUUCGGCAAGUCGGAUGUGAAAUCUCCACGCUUAACGUGGAGGGGCCAUUCGAAACUGCCGUGACUCGAGUCCGGUAGGGGAGUGUGGAAUUCCUGGUGUAGCGGUGAAAUGCGCAGAUAUCAGGAGGAACACCAGUAGCGAAGGCGGCACUCUGGGGCCGGUACUGACGCUGAGGAGCGAAAGCGUGGGGAGCGAACAGGAUUAGAUACCCUGGUAGUCCACGCCGUAAACGUUGGGCACGUAGGUGUGGGACUCUAUCGACGGGUUCCGUGCCGUAGCUAACGCAUUAAG